CUACGGAGGGUGCAAGCGUUAUUCGGAAUUACUGGGCGUAAAGCGCGCGUAGGCGGUUUGCUCAGUCGGAUGUGAAAGCCCAGGGCUCAACCUUGGAACUGCAUACGAUACUGGCAAACUAGAGUGUGAGAGAGGAUAGUGGAAUUUCCGGUGUAGCGGUGAAAUGCGUAGAUAUCGGAAGGAACAUCAGUGGCGAAGGCGACUGUCUGGCUCAACACUGACGCUGAGGUGCGAAAGCGUGGGUAGCAAACAGGAUUAGAAACCCUAGUAGUCC
rnacentral:rRNA from 1 species